rnacentral:rRNA from 1 species
GUAGGUGGCAAGCGUUGUCCGGAAUUAUUGGGCGUAAAGCGCGCGCAGGCGGUCCUUUAAGUCUGAUGUGAAAGCCCACGGCUCAACCGUGGAGGGUCAUUGGAAACUGGGGGACUUGAGUACAGAAGAGGAAAGCGGAAUUCCAAGUGUAGCGGUGAAAUGCGUAGAGAUUUGGAGGAACACCAGUGGCGAAGGCGGCUUUUCUGGUCUGUAACUGACGCUGAGGCGCGAAAGCGUGGGGAGCAAACAGGGAUUAGAUACCCUGGUAGUCCACGCCGUAAACGAUGAGUGCUAAGUGUUAGGGGGUUUCCGCCCCCUUAGUGCUGCAGCUAACGCAUUAAGCACUCCGCCUGGGGAGUACGGCCGCAAGGCUG